ACUGCUCAGUAACACGUAGUCAACAUGCCCAAAGGACGUGGAUAACCUCGGGAAACUGAGGAUAAACCGCGAUAGGUCAUAAGUACUGGAAUGUUUUAUGGCUCAAAUCUACAUGGCCUCUGGAUUGGACUGCGGCCGAUCAGGCUGUUGGUGAGGUAAUGGCCCACCAAACCUGUUACCGGUACGGGCUCUGGGAGGAGGAGCCCGGAGAUGGGCACUGAGACAAGGGCCCAGGCCCUAUGGGGCGCAGCAGGCGCGAAACCUCUGCAAUAGGCGAAAGCUUGACAGGGUUACUCUGAGUGAUUCCCGCUAAGGGAAUCUUUUGGCAUCUCUAAAAACGAUGUAGAAUAAGGGGUGGGCAAGUCUGGUGUCAGCCGCCGCGGUAAUACCAGCACCCCGAGUGGUCGGGACGAUUAUUGGGCCUAAAGCAUCCGUAGCCGGUCUUGCAAGUCUUCCGUUAAAUCCACCUGCUUAACAGAUGGGCUGCGGAAGAUACUACAAGACUAGGAGGCGGGAGAGGCAAGCGGUACUCAGUGGGUAGGGGUAAAAUCCUCUGAUCCAUUGAAGACCACCAGUGGCGAAGGCGGCUUGCCAGAACGCGCUCGACGGUGAGGGAUGAAAGCUGGGGGAGCAAACCGGAUUAGAUACCCGGGUAGUCCCAGCUGUAAACGAUGCAGACUCGGUGAUGGGUUGGCUUCGCGCUAACCCAGUGCCGCAGGGAAGCCGUUAAGUCUGCCGCCUGGGUAGUACGGUCGCAAGACUGAAACUUAAAGGAAUUGGCGGGGGAGCA
rnacentral:rRNA from 1 species